rnacentral:RNase_P_RNA from 1 species
AAUGCAAGCCGGCUUAUCGCCUUGACGUUUUCCGUCAGGGAGGAAAGUCCGGGCAACAAAGAGCAUCGUACUUCCUAACGGGAAGGUCCGCCAAUUGGCGGAACAGAAAGUGCCACAGAAAAUAAACUACCUCGACCCGACUUGUCGGGUUAGGGAAAAGGUGAAAAGGCGGGGUAAGAGCCCACCGGUACUGAAAGUGAUUUCAGACGCAUGGCAAACCUUACGAGUUGAAAGGCCAAAUAGGUCGCGCCCAUGAAAAUGGUUAGCUGCUCGCUAAUAGUUCCGACUGGCGCGAUUGGGUAGGCUGCUAGAUUCAGAUGGCAACAUCUGAACCAGAUAAAUGAUAAGCACCCUUCUAAUUGAAGGUGACAGAACCCGGCUUACAGGCUUGCAUUAAUU